CCAGCAUCUUGUGCCAACAGUCUCCUUCCAGAAUAUCACCCAGGAUACCAGGAGAGAGUGUCGAUUACAGCAAAUUCCAAGCAAAACCUCACUAUGAGCUGCGCAGACCAUAAGGACUACCAUUUGACCCCUGUUGUCUCUUUGACACGUACGUCGGGGCUGAUAAGACCAUUUCUAAAAAGGAGCUCUUGGAAGAUCCCCUGAGAUUUCUCUAUAAAUUAUUCUUAUCAGGUUCUGCGAGAAUACGUAAAUGCAUUUUUAUUUGAUUCCCAAGAAAUAAAUGGAUGUUUAAGUCUAUCAUAGAUAAAGGUAAUGGAAUGGAAAUCAAUCAAAUGAAGUCCCGUCUCAUAUAAGGAAAGCCAGGGUUGGACUGGGCUGGCAAGGCACCGGAAAAAACCCAAUGGGCCCCACCGACCCAGACCCGAUCCUUAAUGGAGUUCUGAUUCUUUUUGACUAAACGCGAAGGAUUUCAACAAAUCUAUAUUGUGUAUAAAGUGUUGGAAAACAUGAAGGAGAAACAUGGAUUGUUAUAUGACUUGGCUCUUCCGUGUCUGAAAACUUCGUUGCUGCCGAUUUCUUCAAAAAGUAUUAUGUUGCUGGAAUCUUGAGACUUCUGUAUAAAAGCCUGAGAGAACUGGAUCAGCAAUGAACCGUGAGCUGAAGAAUAUUCCAUGUUUCAGAGUUUGCUGUGGAGGAGGGGAAACUGUAGUUCAUUAUAAGUUUAAAGAACUAUGUAGUGUCAGAAUGGUCUCUGUAAAUACAGCCAUAAACACUCACA